ensembl:lncRNA
AUGUUUGUAACUAAUGUGCACAUAAAACGAAAUUGUAAAAAUAAGUGCAUGCACAAUCAAUUAUUUUUAUUUUAUUAUUUUUUUUUUUUUGUUGUUUUUAAAGUUUUAUUAGAAAAUGCCAUUGAAGAAAAAAAAAUUAUAGAUGUUGAUUUUGAUACAUCGAUACUAUUUUGUGAAUUUAUUUUCAGUAAAUUAAUAUAUUAUGCAAAUUAUGAAAAUGAUAAUUUCAAUUACUUUUUUAGUUUUAAUUGUUUAAAGAGACAUUUAUGUUCAAUCAUAAGCUCGUUUUUAAAUUUUAACAAUUCAUCACAUAGAAGAAAAAUUGAAGCAUCCUUUACAAACGAGUUAACAAAUUUAAUGAAGCAGAUAUAUGAAAAAAUAAAAGUUGAAAAUGAUUUAGAACUUAAGGUAUCAUAUACAGAAUUUUUAUGGAGGUCUUUUAGAAGAAUAGACAUAAAUACAUUUAACCCAAAACAUUUUAAUGUUGAUAUGAAAACAAUAAAAAGAUUGAAAAAGUUUAAAAUUUUGAAGUUUGACGAAGAAUGUAUAAACUGGUUAAAGGAAGAAAAUUACAUUGACAAAAAACGAUUCAUUGAAAAUGGAUCGUUUAUAAUAGAGGCAAACCAAAACAUAGUGAACAGGGAAUUCCUCAUAUGUUAUUUUGGAAAAUGUUCUGUAUUUAUAUACUAUAAAAGUGAAGAGAUAGAGGAAGACGAAAUUGACGAAAAAUGUAAAAUAGAAAUUCCUUAUUAUCAUAUAAUGUCCAUACAUUUUAAAAGUAAAACAAUAUUUCUAAUGGAUUGCAAAGGGACAGUCGAUCAGACAAAUAUUUUUUGUCUUUGGGGCGAGGAUAUAAAAAAUAGCAUAAAUUACGAAACAACUAAUAUGUUCUCUCUGUCAAUCGAGGUUAAAAAUUGCCCAAAAGAAAUUCGGAAAGACUUAAACAAAUUUUUAAACACGUUAAAUGUGCAAAUAAAACAAACUUUAAAUAAAGACGAAAACAAUAAUGAACCGGAAGCAACUAAUGAUAAGAAAUCUAAAAUAGAAAAAACUGAGACAUUAAGUGAUUUUAUUGACAAAACUUUAAAUAGGGAACUGGAAGACCCUAUGUUUUCUGAUAACGAACAGAUUAUGGACAAUAACAUAAGUGAUAAAAAAUUGCUAAAAAACAACACACAAAAAGGAGUUGUAACUGUGGAACGUGAAGUUGAAAAAAGAAAUAAAGACAAAAAAAGAAAUGGUAAAAAGUCAAAACACUUAAAAUCGUCACAACUGACAAAUCAUAAAAAAACGUGUGAAGACGAAGCAUCUUUAAAAGCAAUAACAGUAAGAAAAUUUAAGUAAAAAUUGAAAAGCUACAUUUAAGAAAAUAAUACAUACAAACAUUUAUCUAUUGUUUUAGUUAACAUAAUUAAAUAGUUUAAAGAGUGCCAAAAUACAAAUACCCAUUUGCCCUUAUCAUACAUAUAUAUAUAUAUAUAUAUAUAUAUAUAUAUUACAUAUUAUUUUUCUUUUUUUCUUUUUUUUUCUUUUUUCAUAAGGAUAAAACACACAGUCAAGGGGUCUCAGAACAAGACACCGAUACUGAUACUAUGAUAAACAAAAUUCUUUGUACUCAAAAAGAAAAAAAAGACAAAAUGAAAAAUUUUGUAAAAAAAGCAUUUCAUGAAGCUUUAAAUGAAAUAGAUAACAAUAUUAAAUUAUUGAUUGAGGUAUAGGACUUGUUAAUAAAAAUAAACAUAAAAAAAAAAAAAAUGAAAUA